UUCCGGUUGAUCCCGCCGGAGGCCACUGCUAUCGGGGUCCGACUAAGCCAUGCGAGUCAAGGGGGUGUCCCUCUGGGACACCACCGGCGGACGGCUCAGUAACACGUCGGUAACCUACCCUCGGGAGGGGGAUAACCCCGGGAAACUGGGGCUAAUCCCCCAUAGGCCUGAGGUACUGGAAGGUCCUCAGGCCGAAAGGGGCUUUUGCCCGCCCGAGGAUGGGCCGGCGGCCGAUUAGGUAGUUGGUGGGGUAACGGCCCACCAAGCCGAAGAUCGGUACGGGCUGUGAGAGCAGGAGCCCGGAGAUGGACACUGAGACACGGGUCCAGGCCCUACGGGGCGCAGCAGGCGCGAAACCUCCGCAAUGCGGGAAACCGCGACGGGGGGACCCCGAGUGCCGUGGCACCGCCACGGCUUUUCCGGAGUGUAAAAAGCUCCGGGAAUAAGGGCUGGGCAAGGCCGGUGGCAGCCGCCGCGGUAAUACCGGCGGCCCGAGUGGUGGCCGCUAUUAUUGGGCCUAAAGCGUCCGUAGCCGGGCCCGUAAGUCCCUGGCGAAAUCCCACGGCUCAACCGUGGGGCUUGCUGGGGAUACUGCGGGCCUUGGGACCGGGAGAGGCGGGGGGUACCCCUGGGGUAGGGGUGAAAUCCUAUAAUCCCAGGGGGACCGCCAGUGGCGAAGGCGCCCCGCUGGAACGGGUCCGACGGUGAGGGACGAAGGCCAGGGGAGCAAACCGGAUUAGAUACCCGGGUAGUCCUGGCUGUAAAGGAUGCGGGCUAGGUGUCGGGUGAGCUUCGAGCUCGCCCGGUGCCGUAGGGAAGCCGUUAAGCCCGCCGCCUUGGGAGUACGGCCGCA
rnacentral:rRNA from 1 species